rnacentral:lncRNA from 1 species
GGAGUCGGCCUUAGGCCUUGGACCUUAGGCCACAAACCAGCCAACGUCCCGGGCCCAUCGGGCUGCCGCGCCGGGUCGAACCCGAAGGCGAAGCAGCACGCUUGCCCCUCACAGCCGGAAAGGCCGAUAGAGUCGUGUUUUGUGACGAGGCAAUUACGCCAGAUCCAGCUCUCGGGGCCCUAUGCGCAGUGGGUGCACGGCAGCCCCGCUCAGCCCCACGGCCGCCUGGUGCCCCGGCCGAGCGCGGGGCGGGUCGUUGGCACCUGGGCUGCGGAGCCCCCGCGACACGCCGUCGCCCUCCGAACCCCGGCUGCGUCCGCACCGCCCCGCGCAAGCCCAGCUGGGCCGUGGCCACACGCGGCCGUCCUCACCGGCUUCGGGCCUCGUGGGCACAGGCGCCCACGCGGGAUCCAUGACACUUCUGGGCACGGACCGAAGCCCGUGGGCGCCGCAGCUCGUCCUCGGAGCCGCAGCCUCGAGAGCGCAGUGUUGGCGGCCCAGCCUCCCUCCCUGUCAGCGGAACCGGAGGGCCAGCUGGUCAGUGAGCCGCAGAGCCCAGCGUCCCCGCCCGGGCGGGGCUCCACAGUGGCAGCACCCCCAGGGACAGUGUGUUCCGGGAAGUCCCUGCGUGUUUUGUGCCAGGAGCGGAGCACACGCCCGGGCUCAUUCUCUCGGCCUGUGACCGCCUCACCGGAGCCGCCAGGCCCUGGUCGGCCGGGUCUCACGGGCCAUCGGCGGGGCCUGCGGAGGGGACGCCACGGAAGUGUCCCUACGGGGUGGGGGACAUGGCGCCGGGGCUCCACAGCUCACCGUGUGCCCGUCACCAUCACCGGGGGGGCUCAGGCCCCUGCAGAGCCGCCCCGAGGGGAGGUGGGGUACCCCCGGUGCCCCCCACUUCCCACUCCCGUCAUGGCCGGUCCUCCUGACAAGCUGCUGUCUGGCAAGGACACGUCCGCUCCUAUCCCCCCACUUUCCUGCGCUCGUACUUUACCUUCUCCGUCCUGCGGCGGGGGCACCCGGGCCCCGACCCCCGUCCUGGCGGUGACACGUCCGGCUGCGGGGCCCCGGCAUCCUCGUAUCCAGGACAUAAGCCGCAUCCUUGGUGUUUCCACGCGCUCCGCGGCCACAGGCAUCACCCUGACGCACACCGGGUGA